rnacentral:sRNA from 1 species
AUUGUGUCGUUCAGAAUUUCAGUCGUAGGGAAGCAUUCACAUGCUACGGAGCUAGUGCCAGGGCCUGGGCUAAAGGCGGAGGGUGGAGAGUGGAAGCCAAGCCGCCACUUCCACCCGACGAGGCAAUCAGUCGUGUGACUCUGUGCAGACGUGGGUGCAUGUCGUCCGGGAGAAGUUCGCAAGGUUCUGGAAACGGCCAGCCUUUUGAGGAGUUCAAGCUUAGGAUGUUGGUCAAGCGAUGAUCAAUGGCGAGAUGUUUGCUCCUCCGUGGAGCAGCGAAGCCCCAGAUCCCGAGGCAGCUGCUUCUUACGGCCGUGAAUUGCAGAUCGAAGUGGAAGGCACGGCGGACUCAGACUUGAAGAUCCACUUCAGCUCACUUCGCACCUUUAUGACGAAUAGGACACAUAAAAGUGGUGAGUGGUGCCGAAUCUGGAGGCUUGUGCUGGGGGCGCCUGUCAUUACAAGGCAGUUCGAGCGGAUCGCUCUUUCCUUGAGAAGUCUCCCUUAUUGGAAUCGAUUUUGCACCUGACCGUCUGAGAGAAGGGGGAUCAGAGUGUGGAUCGAUUGCAUGGAACCUCAGCCCCGACAUUGUGGAGGAGAAGUUACAGCUCAAGCAGAAGCACGGAUGAUUCGCUCGAGUUGCUGGUCGAUCUGUUGAUAUUGUGCCUAGUACUACGAUGCGACUAAACCAGUGGGCUGUUCUGUACUCUGCACAACUUCACUCGAUGAGCACUACAACCAUUCUCAAGGGCCCUUGUGGUGCCUUGUGGUGACAUACCUCCAGCACUGGUCCCCACACAUCUCUGCCAACGUCUCUUUGCGCUGAGAUCUGCAGUUCAGCUUUCGCGUCUGCCCGGGGUUCCACGCAAGAUUGCUUCAAGACUUGGGAACACUCAUCGCGAGAGAGCUUCUAUACCCUGGGACGCCCCUCGCCUACGACUGCUGGCUCUUGUUGCUUCAGAUACAAUUUCGAAAGGAAAUAUACAAAUUAAAUGUCACUGGUUUUUACGCUCA